rnacentral:rRNA from 1 species
CCUCGGGUGGCAGCAGUGAGGAAUAUUGGUCAAUGGCCGAGAGGCUGAACCAGCCAAGUCGCGUGAGGGAAGAAUGUCCUAAGGAUUGUAAACCUCUUUUGUCGGGGAGCAAAAAGGUUCUGCGGAGUCGUAUUGAGAGUACCCGAAGAAAAAGCAUCGGCUAACUCCGUGCCAGCAGCAGCGGUAAUACGUAGGAUGCGAGCGUUAUCCGGAUUUAGUGGGUUUAAGGGGUGCGAUGGCGGCGUGUCAAGCAAGCGGUAAAAUAGCGGGGCUCGACCCCGUCGAGCCGUUGGAACUGGCGCGCUUGAGUUCAGGCUAGGUAGGCGGAAUUCGUUGUGUAGCGGUGAAAUGCAUAGAUAUCACGAAGAACUCCGAUUGCGAAGGCAGCUUACCAGUCUGCGACUGACGCUCAGGCACGAAAGUGUGGGUAUCGAACAGGAUUAGAUACCCCUGUAGUC